UGGAUCACCUCCUAACAGGGAUACAAUACGCGAUUGUGAUGUCUGAGUAUUUUAUUCUCAGGCCAUGAUCCUGUCAUCUCUAAGGUCGAUCGGUACCUCAAUGGAGACAUUAGAAAGCAAACGAACCGUAAGGUGAGUAAGUUUGUCUGAUUUAUCUUUUCAGUUCCUAAACUUUGUCUAGGUCACCCCAAAAACGGGUAAACAAGCUCCUGGGCCAUUAGCUCAGGUGGUUAGAGCGCACCCCUGAUAAGGGUGAGGUCCCUGGUUCAAGUCCAGGAUGGCCCAUUCGUGUUUGGGGGUUUAGCUCAGUUGGUAGAGCGCCUGCUUUGCAAGCAGGAUGUCAGCGGUUCGAGUCCGCUAACCUCCAUCCAACGCUGACCCUUAUUGCGAAAGUUCCACAGGAGAACCAGCGAGGGUGACUAGACGGUAAAAACUAAGCGGGAAGAUUCCAGCCUCAUUGCAUUCCAAACUAUUGGUCACAGUCAACAGACUGUUAAAGACCAAGAUUAAGUUAGGUUGCAGCGAUGCUGGACUCAAAGCUUUCUGAAACCAGAAAGCAAUGAUGUCCUAGCAAAGAACCUUGACAACUGCAUAGGUGAAUCUGGAAAUAAUAGCAUCUCAUAGAUGCUUGGUUCUGGAUCCGAAUUUUUAAGUUAUCUGAGCAAUCAGCUGACUUGAAAAAGAGGUGAAAGACCCAAGAAAAUUCUUGAGUUUAGAGCCGAGAGCUUCCAGUGUUCUUAGCCACCGCCGAGGUGUGCUGAGUUUGAUCCUUAAUUCAAACCGUUGCUGCCAGUGAAUGCUGAAAGCAAAGGGUGAAUCAUGAGAGAAUAGGUUUCAACAACCUGAAGCAUUGGGAGACUAAAUUGGUCAAGCUACAAAGGGCUCACGGUGGAUACCUUGGCACACAGAGGCGAUGAAGG
rnacentral:tRNA from 1 species